CCUACGGGUGGCAGCAGUGGGGAAUAUUGCGCAAUGGGCGAAAGCCUGACGCAGCGACGCCGCGUGAGGGAUGAAGGUCUUCGGAUCGUAAACCUCUGUCAGCAGGGAAGAACGGUCACUGUGCUAAUCAGCAGUGAAUUGACGGUACCUGCAAAGGAAGCACCGGCUAACUCCGUGCCAGCAGCCGCGGUAAUACGGAGGGUGCGAGCGUUAAUCGGAAUUACUGGGCGUAAAGCGCUCGUAGGCGGUAUGUCAAGUCACGGGUGAAAUCCCCGGGCUCAACGUGGGAACUGCAUUUGAAACUGGCAAACUGGAGUGUGUGAGAGGAUAGUGGAAUUCCAGGUGUAGGAGUGAAAGCCGUAGAUAUCGGGAGGAACAUCAGUGGCGAAGGCGACUAUCUGGCACAUAACUGACGCUGAGGAGCGAAAGCGUGGGUAGCAAACAGGAUUAGAUACCCUAGUAGUC
rnacentral:rRNA from 1 species